GGACUACCGGGGUAUCUAAUCCUGUUUGAUCCCCACGCUUUCGUGCCUCAGCGUCAAUCAUUGUGUAGCAAGCUGCCUUCGCAAUUGGUGUUCUAUGUCAUAUCUAAGCAUUUCACCGCUACAUGACAUAUUCCGCUUACCUCCACAAUAUUCAAGACAAAUAGUAUCAAUGGCAGUUUCCGAGUUAAGCCCGGAGAUUUCACCACUGACUUAUAUGCCCGCCUACGCACCCUUUAAACCCAGUGAAUCCGGAUAACGCUUGCACCCUCCGUAUUACCGCGGCGGCUGGCAC
rnacentral:rRNA from 1 species